CGAAAGCCUGAUGCAGCAACGCCGCGUGAGGGAUGACGGCCUUCGGGUUGUAAACCUCUUUUAGUAGGGAAGAAGCGAAAGUGACGGUACCUGCAGAAAAAGCACCGGCUAACUACGUGCCAGCAGCCGCGGUAAUACGUAGGGUGCAAGCGUUGUCCGGAAUUAUUGGGCGUAAAGAGCUCGUAGGCGGUUUGUCGCGUCUGCUGUGAAAUCUGGGGGCUCAACCCCCAGCCUGCAGUGGGUACGGGCAGACUAGAGUGCGGUAGGGGAGAUUGGAAUUCCUGGUGUAGCGGUGGAAUGCGCAGAUAUCAGGAGGAACACCGAUGGCGAAGGCAGAUCUCUGGGCCGUAACUGACGCUGAGGAGCGAAAGCAUGGGGAGCGAACAGGAUUAGAUACCCUGGUAGUCCAUGCCGUAAACGUUGGGAACUAGAUGUGGGGGCCAUUCCACGGUCUCCGUGUCGCAGCUAACGCAUUAAGUUCCCCGCCUGGGGAGUACGGCCGCAAGGCUAAAACUCAAAGGAAUUGACGGGGGCCCGCACAAGCGGCGGAGCAUGCGGAUUAAUUCGAUGCAACGCGAAGAACCUUACCAAGGCUUGACAUAUACCGGAAACGUCCAGAGAUGGUCGCCCCGCAAGGUCGGUAUACAGGUGGUGCAUGGUUGUCGUCAGCUCGUGUCGUGAGAUGUUGGGUUAAGUCCCGCAACGAGCGCAACCCUCGUUCUAUGUUGCCAGCACGUAAUGGUGGGAACUCAUAGGAGACUGCCGGGGUCAACUCGGAAGAAGGUGGGGAUGACGUCAAAUCAUCAUGCCCCUUAUGUCUUGGGCUUCACGCAUGCUACAAUGGCCGGUACAAAGGGCUGCGAUACCGUAAGG
rnacentral:rRNA from 1 species